rnacentral:rRNA from 1 species
UACGAAGGGGGCUAGCGUUGCUCGGAAUUACUGGGCGUAAAGGGCGCGUAGGCGGAUAUUUAAGUUGGGGGUGAAAUCCCGGGGCUCAACCUCGGAAUUGCCUUCAAAACUGGAUAUCUUGAGUUCGGGAGAGGUGGAGUGGAACUCCGAGUGUAGAGGUGAAAGUUCGUAAGAUAUUCGGAAGAACACCAGUGGCGAAGGCGACUCACUGGCCCGAUACUGACCGCUGAGGCGCGAAAGCGUGGGGAGCAAACAGGAUUGAGAAACCCAGUGGUAG